AGCGAACGCUGGCGGUAUGCCUAACACAUGCAAGUCGAACGGCAGCACAGUAUGACCCUGCUCGUACGGGUGGCCUGUGGCGGACGGGUGAGGAAUACAUCGGAAUCUACUUUUCCGUGGGGGAUAACGUAGGGAAACUUACGGUAACACCGUAUACGACCUACGGGUGAAAGCAGGGGAUCUUCGAACCUUGCGCGCUUGAAUGAGCCGAUGUCGGAUUAGCCAGUUGGCGGGGUAAAGGCCAACCAAGGCGACGAUCCGUAGCCGGUCUGAGAGGGUGAUCGGCGACACUGGAACUGGGACACGGUCACGACUCCUACGGGGGGCAGCGGUGGCGAAUGUUGAACUAGGGGCGCGAGCCGAAUCCAGACGCAGCGCGUGCGCGUAGAGGACCAUCGGGUUGUAAAGGCCAUUUGUUGGGGAAGGAGAGCAGGAGGUUUAGACGCCGCUGUGGUGACGGUACCCGUAGAAUAAGCACCGGCUAACUUCGUG
rnacentral:rRNA from 1 species